UGCAGAAACUCGGGUGCCCGCGCCUCCGGCAACCCCGGAGCCUCUGCGCUCCCGACCCUGCUCUGUCGCCCCUCGCCUCGGCGCCCGGCGGGAGCGGCUGUGGGGUGCGUGGGUCGCCCAGGGCCUGAGCCGGAGGAGAGUCCCGUCCCGCCGCGCCCCGUCUCCGGGCGCCCGGACGCUGCAGGCGCGGACGCCAUUGCCGCUGCCGCUGUUUGUUAUUAAACUGCCCACAGACGGGGCUUCGAGUAAAAAUACCAACUUUCCAGUCGGGGCGGCGCACGUCCCCGGGCCCUGGAAAGUUCUGGGACGGCCGAGGUCUCCUCGGACACCCUCACCCACGCCCCCGUCGUGCCCUUUCUGACUUUUGGCUCCUCGACUUCCCUUUUGUGCGGCCCCGGGCAGCUUCCUCAGGCCGCGCCGGCCCCACCUGCCGCCCUGGGAGCUGUUACUCCCCCGGCAGCAGGAGCAUCCAGCUCGGGUUUUAUUUCCUCCCGAGACACCGGAGAAGGCCUCAGGCCUUCAGAGGACCUGCUAGAGUCAGCUUCACUGCAGUUUCCCAGUGGCCCUUUGACAGUCUACAAACCAGCUGGAAAGCAAAGACCACCAUCAAGAAAAGGCCCUGAGCAGCAAACAGAGCCCCACCAUCCAUACAGAGGUCAGCCUGAAGGAAAGCUACAGCCAGAGGCUCCAGCUACCGGGUCUCAGAGCUACAGGCACUUUUACACAGGGGCAGACAGAGAUAAGGUGGGAGCUGAUGUAUUAUGCCUGGAAGGUACCAAGGAAAUGAUAAUGGAUGUUUCUAUUUGACACUUUGUUGUGUUUUUCUUUUUAAAAGAUUUGAAAUCAUUCGGGACAAUUUCUUAUUUCUAGCAACAGAGUGAUCUGAACCACUGAUUUGCUUGGAAAUCAAGAGAUUCUGUUUAUGGAUCUGUACUUUGGUCUAACAACUCUGUUUCACACUAUGGGCGGGCUUUAGCAGUGUAGUUUCCAGAUAGUAUCUGAAAUUAAAAAAAAAAAAGGGAGCAGGGGGAGAGAGAAAAUAAUUUGGGAGUAAUCUGAG